UCCUCCAGUUUCUCCAUAUACCGAAAAGAUUUUAUCUUUCUCUUCCUUAUCCGAGCCUUCACCACCACCACCACCACGGCUCUGUAUCCAUUCCCCAUCUCUCCGGCACUAGCACUGCAAUCACCAAAACAAUCACGGUCAAGCAAUUUGUGUAUUAUCACAACACGACGGAAUGAUACAAUUAGGGACUUGAUUUGAUAUUUUUUUUUUCUUUGCUUAGAUUGGAUAUAUUGAUGGGUUUUAUACAAGAACGGUCAAUAUAUUUGUUUGAUUAUACCCACGAAAAACAUGAAUUUGUUAUGGUUACAUGCAAGAGAUCACUUGGAGAAGCAACGUGGGUGUUUUAUGAUUUGUAAAAUUCCCUCUCUAUGAUUUUAUAUUCUUUCAAUUGUAACAAAUCUAAAUUUUGGGAUAAAGGAUUGAAAUUAAGAAUUUGGUUAUUUGGGGCUGGAUUUUUUUCUGGGGUAUUCAAUUUGUUCAAAUUUGUGGCGCUAAUUUGAGAUGAUUAUUGAAUUUGCUGGUUUGCUGUUGAUGGGAGAUUUGGGUUUUGAUUGAAAUGGAUUUUAACACAGCAGUGGUGUUGUAUGUUUCCAUUGAUCAAUAGAAGGUGUUGUGAUGUAUCUCGGUCAUAAAUGGGGAAAUUGAACAGUUUUUGGAGAACGAGUAAAUGGAUGUGAUGAUAACUGAGAAGGAAAGAAGAUGGAGAUCAACAAUGGUGGCUGCUGGUGGCAAUGGGAAGAACUCAUGUGUGGUGCUGAUGAAUAUGCAGAGCCCGUGGAUAACAAAGGAGUCUAUAAUGGUUCUGGCUCGAGUCUUGGUGAACUGAUGAUUUUGUUUCAUGGAUGGAGUUUGCUGAUGAAGGAAAAGAUCCCGAGUGAAGUAAAACAGUUGAGAACGAGUCCAUCAUGAUCCAGAGGAGCUGGAUCGGUAGAGAUGGCAAGUAUGAUAAUUUCCGGUAACCGAUGGAUUGUGGGUUGUUCUUGAGAGGUGGUAAAAGAUCCAGGCUUCUUAUCUAAGUAACUGUAAGUGUUCCGGAUCAUAAGGUUUGCUAGCUAUUUGAUGUUGAUCUAAAGGGAAAUCAAAUAGGAUAUCUGUUAGAGGAAGAUUGGUAUCAAAAGUCUUCACUGAGGUUGAAGCAACUCUUAGGCUAUAAAGGACGCCAGGUAAAGGAAUCAAUUACGUAGAGCCUUGCGAGUUUCAAGAGACGUAAGGAGCGCAAUUGUAACUGAAUCGCUUGGAGGGUGGAUUCGGUAUUAACUACACUACAGUCCAAAGUACGAUAGUAGGCUAGUAUCCGUAGAGACUUAAUACAAUUUGGUGUUCAAAUCUGGACGAGGUCUCGGGAUUUUUCUGCAGUUGCGGUUUCCUCGUUAACAAAACUUCUGGUGUCUUGUGUUUUUCCUUUUCCGCCUUAUAUUAUUUAUCUUUAUAGUGGAUUUACGCAAGUUGUACGUAUUCAAUUUAAGUAUAUACAGUUCAUCUAAUUAUGAUC